rnacentral:lncRNA from 1 species
AAUUCAGAUUCGGAUAUUAUUAGAAUAAUAAUAUACACUUAUAUAAUUGAGCUCUUAUACUUUUAAAAAAUACCAAGUCGUUGGUGUUUAUAGGUCUUCGACUCUUGGAUUAAGGGGCCGUUUGAUUGCAUGUAAUUGCAACUACACUGUAUUUGUAACUAUAUAUGAAUACAAAUUUCGUGUUUGGUUUGAUAUAUUUAAUUCCAGCUGCUGUAGUAGGAACUGCAGGAGGAGACCCAACUGUAGCAGUUCGAACUACGCCCAAAUUGGCCGCAAUUCCAACUACAGCAGUUGGAGAGAGUAACUUUAAAUAAAAGGUAUGCUUACUUCCUCAAUAUUUUUAAAUUUUUUUUUUUUUUACAUUAAAGGUAAUCUCACUAUCAUAUAUAUAAAAUAAUAAAAUUUUAAAAAUUAUUUCUCAACCGCAUGCAAACAAAUAAAUUAUUUAUACUUGCAGCGCUUUCUACUACAUCCAACCAAAUAUGAUUCAUAUAGUUAUAAUUACUGUAUUUCCAACUGCAUGCAUCUCUAACUACACUGCAUUUAUAAUUACAUCUAACCAAGCGACCCCUAAGAGAUGUGCGGCUAGGAUGAUAGUGAUCCCCUAAAGUUGAGUGGGUUGUUGAUUGAAUAAUAUGAUUUAAGAGAUGAAACUAGUCAAAGGGAUAGAUCUGACGGCAAAAAACUUACAAGUACCAAAUUUUUAGUGCUUUUACAAGCACUAUAGCUAGACUAGACUCUCUCUCUCUCUCUCUCUCUCUCUCUCUCUCUCUCUCUCUAUAUAUAUAUAGAGUCCCGCUACUAUACUUUUAUGAGUAUUGGCUCCCUUAUACUCAUAAGUUUUCGGCCCUUAAAUUUAUUCCAUUGAUCAUUUCCACCCGUUAGAUCAUACUAUUUAAUCAACUACGCACUCAACCCUAGAGGACCACUAUUAUUCUAAGUGGGGACCACCAUCAUCUUAACCACAUAUCUUAUCAAUCAACGGUUAAAAAAUUAUGAGUACCAGGGAGUCUAUACUCAUAAAAGUAUAGUAGCCCUAGCCUAUAUAU